UACAGAGGGGGCGAGCGUUAUUCGGAAUCAUUGGGCGUAAAGGGCGCGUAGGCGGCUGGGUAAGUCCAAGGUGAAAUCCCUCGGCUCAACCGAGGAACUGCCUUGGAUACUGCUCGGCUUGAGGCCGGGAGAGGGUAGUGGAAUUCCCAGUGUAGCGGUGAAAUGCGUAGAUACUGGGAGGAACACCGGUGGCGAAGGCGGCUACCUGGACCGGAUCUGACGCUGAUGCGCGAAAGCGUGGGGAGCAAACAGG
rnacentral:rRNA from 1 species